UGCCAUCCGCCGCGGUAAUACGAGAGGCCCGAGCGUUAAUCGGAAUCACUGGGCUUAAAGGGUGCGUAGGCGGACCAGAAGGUGUGUCGUGAAAUCCCCCGGCUCAACCGGGGAACUGCGGUGCAAACCACUGGUCUUGAGGUAGGUAGAGGUCGUCGGAACGUUCGGUGGAGCGGUGAAAUGCGUAGAUAUCGAACGGAACGCCAAAGGUGAAGACAGGCGACUGGGCCUUACCUGACGCUGAGGCACGAAAGCGUGGGGAGCAAACAGGAUUAGAUA
rnacentral:rRNA from 1 species